ACCCGCUGAACUUAAGCAUAUCAAUAAGCGGAGGAAAAGAAACCAACAGGGAUUGCCCUAGUAACGGCGAGUGAAGCGGCAACAGCUCAAAUUUGAAAUCUGGCGUCUUUGGCGUCCGAGUUGUAAUUUGCAGAGGGCGCUUUGGCAUUGGCAGCGGUCCAAGUUCCUUGGAACAGGACGUCACAGAGGGUGAGAAUCCCGUACGUGGUCGCUAGCCUUUACCGUGUAAAGCCCCUUCGACGAGUCGAGUUGUUUGGGAAUGCAGCUCUAAAUGGGAGGUAAAUUUCUUUUAAAGCUAAAUACUGGCCAGAGACCGAUAGCGCACAAGUAGAGUGAUCGAAAGAUGAAAAGCACUUUGGAAAGAGAGUUAAAAAGCACGUGAAAUUGUUGAAAGGGAAGCGCUUGCAGCCAGACUUGCCUGUAGUUGCUCAUCCGGGUUUUUACCCGGUGCACUCUUCUAUAGGCAGGCCAGCAUCAGUUUGGGCGGUUGGAUAAAGGUCUCUGUCAUGUACCUCUCUUCGGGGAGAACUUAUAGGGGAGACGACAUGCAACCAGCCCGGACUGAGGUCCGCGCAUCUGCUAGGAUGCUGGCGUAAUGGCUGU
rnacentral:rRNA from 1 species